AUAACAUACCGAAAGGUAUGCUAAUACGAGAUAAUAUGCUUUUGUCGCAUGGUAGAAGUAUCAAAGCUCCGGCGGUACAGGAUGGACCCGCGUCUGAUUAGCUAGUUGGUAAGGUAACGGCUUACCAAGGCGACGAUCAGUAGCCGACCUGAGAGGGUGAUCGGCCACAUUGGAACUGAGACACGGUCCAAACUCCUACGGGAGGCAGCAGUGGGGAAUAUUGCACAAUGGGCGAAAGCCUGAUGCAGCAACGCCGCGUGAGCGAUGAAGGCCUUCGGGUCGUAAAGCUCUGUCCUCAAGGAAGAUAAUGACGGUACUUGAGGAGGAAGCCCCGGCUAACUACGUGCCAGCAGCCGCGGUAAUACGUAGGGGGCUAGCGUUAUCCGGAAUUACUGGGCGUAAAGGGUGCGUAGGUGGUUUCUUAAGUCAGAGGUGAAAGGCUACGGCUCAACCGUAGUAAGCCUUUGAAACUGGGAAACUUGAGUGCAGGAGAGGAGAGUGGAAUUCCUAGUGUAGCGGUGAAAUGCGUAGAUAUUAGGAGGAACACCAGUUGCGAAGGCGGCUCUCUGGACUGUAACUGACACUGAGGCACGAAAGCGUGGGGAGCAAACAGGAUUAGAUACCCUGGUAGUCCACGCCGUAAAC
rnacentral:rRNA from 1 species